CCUAGUAAGCGUGAGUCAUCAGCUCGCGUUGAUUACGUCCCUGCCCUUUGUACACACCGCCCGUCGCUACUACCGAUUGAAUGGCUUAGUGAGACCCUCGGAUUGCGGAUCGUUCGUUGGCAACAACACACGUUUUACGAGAAGUUGGUCAAACUUGGUCAUUUAGAGGAAGUAAAAGUCGUAACAAGGUUUCCGUAGGUGAACCUGCGGAAGGAUCAUUAAAAAAAGGGUCGAAAGACCUAUUUCUACUGAAACUCUACUAUCUUUUUUAGAUGGUAGAUGUUUCUUUAAAAUCCAAUAAACAUAUCGUCUUUAGACGAACCAAAAAUAAAAUUCUAAAAAACUUUCAACAAUGGAUCUCUUGGCUCUCGCAUCGAUGAAGAACGCAGCGAAUUGCGAUAAGUAGUGUGAAUUGCAAAUUCUGUGAAUCAUCGAAUCUUUGAACGCAUAUUGCGCUCUCUGGUAUUCCGGAGAGCAUGCCUGUUUGAGGGUAAUAAAAAAGAAUCUUUGACUUUCGAGUCAAGGGAUAUGGGCAUUCCGCAUUUUUAGCGGUAGCCUGAAAUGUAUGGUUUGUCUCAUCUAUUCGAGAUGCGUAAUAAUAUUAUUUCGUAAAAUCUUUGAUAUGACGAGCUACCAAGUCUUGACGUGUACGCUUUAUUGUUGUAUGCGAUUAAUACAAAUAUUUUUGACAUUACCUCAAAUCAGGUAGGAAUACCCGCUGAACUUAAGCAUAUCAAUAAGCGGAGGAAAAGAAACUAACAAGGAUUCCCCUAGUAACGGCGAGUGAAGCGGGAACAGCUCAAAUUUUAAAUCGGACUUUGUUCGAGUUGUAAUUUGAAGAGGCGUUUUCACGUCGUUUGUCCAGGUCUAAGUUCCUUGGAAUAGGAUAUCAGAGAGGGUGAGAAUCCCGUCUGUGAUCUGGUCGAUGGCUGUACGUUACGUCUUCUAAGAGUCGAGUUGUUUGGGAUUGCAGCUCAAAAUGGGUGGUAAAUUCCAUCUAAGGCUAAAUAUUGGCGAGAGACCGAUAGCGAACAAGUACCGUGAGGGAAAGAUGAAAAGAACUUUGAAAAGAGAGUUAAAUAGUAUGUGAAAUUGUUGAAAGGGAAACGAUUGAAGCCAGUCAUGCCGGUGGGAAAUCAGCUCAUAGGCUACUUUGAGUGCACUUUCUCGCAAGGCAGGUUAACAUCGGUUUCAGUUGCGUUAUAAUGAUGGUGGGAAGGUAGCUCUCUCGGGAGUGUUAUAGCCCGCUAUAGAUGGCGUGACAGAGAUCGAGGAUUGCAGCGAAUGCCUUUAGGCUACGAGUCUGGUCUCUGUCAAGUGUCAACUUGUCGUCAGCGUGCUGACGUACGAGGUGACGUCUUUACAAUAGGUUCAGAACUCGAUAAAUUCGCUAAGGAUGUUGACGUAAUGGCUUUAAACGACCCGUCUUGAACACGGACCAAGGAG
rnacentral:rRNA from 1 species